rnacentral:sRNA from 1 species
UAUUGCAUUUUACUAUUUCGUGUUAUUUUCUUGUUGAAAUAUAAUUGAAUAGCAGUUGUUUAAUGUGAGUGACAGUUAGUGUUCAGAUUUUAUCCAUAGGUUUAAAAUAUCUACAGUUUUUGAUUUUUAUAAUCAUAAAGUUUACGUGGUCGUCCUUGACAUGAAUUUAUUGAAGAUCAUCAAUGUGAUGUGCAUCAACUGAUGCCAAUUUUUUAAAAUCUCUUAUAUAGCCUGUUAGCAGUCAAAACAAUGUUUCUAUUUUCAUUUAAAAAACAGAUCAUAAAGAAUGUUUAAAGCCGAAAUCGGGCUCAUUUUUAUAAAAUCAUUUUUCAGGAGUGAUUCGUUAUCGAUCCAUCAAAUAAUGCACUGAUGUGUCAAGCCACCUAAAAAUAUAAAAAUUAUUUUGAAAAUUUGACUUAUCUUGAAAUAUAUUAAGUUUAU